rnacentral:rRNA from 1 species
CCUACGGGCGGCAGCAGUGAGGAAUAUUGGUCAAUGGACGAAAGUCUGAACCAGCCAAGCAGCGUGCAGGAAGACGGCCCUAUGAGUUGUAAACUUCUUUUAUAUAGGGAUAAAACUGAAUAUGUGUAUCCACUUGAAAGUACCAUAUGAAUAAGGAUCGGCUAACUCCGUGCCAGCAGCCGCGGUAAUACGGAGGAUCCAAGCGUUAUCCGGAUUUAUUGGGUUUAAAGGGAGCGUAGGCGGAUUGAUAAGUGAGUGGUGAAAGUUUGCGGCUUAACUGUGAAAUUGCAGUUAAUACUGGUGAUCUUGAGAGUAGAUGAGGUAGGCGGAAUGUAUGGUGUAGCGGUGAAAUGCUUAGAGAUCACACAGAACACCGAUUGCGAAGGCAGCUCAC